CAAUGGACACUUUCUUCUUUUCCUUCUGUUAAAAGGCGAAUUCCACUUCCUUUCUGUCUUUCUUUUCCAAUAUGAAAAUUCCAACGACUGGACCCAUAAAGAAAAACAAAGAAAUCGAGAGACAAGUAGAGAAUAAGAAGAAGAAGAAGAAGAAGAUUUUCCACUAAAAGUAUUAAUUAUGUUUCGUGGGAUCACCUCUCAUGAUUAUUAUUAUUCUCUCCUACUAAUUUCCUUUCUCCUAGUUUCCUCAGCGAUAAGCAGCGCUUAUAGUUGGGGCGUUCUUAACGUCAACUACAAAUACGCCGGCCGUCAACGUUCUUUUUCUGACUUGAUAGAGCACGACAGCCACCGUCAACUCCGAAUUCUCGCAGGCGUCGAUCUCCCCUUGGGCGGUUCCGGUCGGCCUGAUGGAGUUGGGCUUUAUUAUGCUAAAAUAGGGAUAGGAACACCUCCGAAAGACUACUAUGUGCAAGUAGAUACAGGAAGUGAUAUAAUGUGGGUUAAUUGUAUUCAAUGUAAAGAAUGCCCCAAAAGAAGCUCUCUUGGUAUAGAUCUUACUUUGUACGAUAUUAAGGACUCUGCCACUGGCAAGUUGGUUUCAUGUGAUCAAGAGUUUUGUUAUGCCAUAAAUGGAGGUCCGUUGGCUGGUUGUACAGCUAAUAUGUCCUGUCCGUAUCUUGAGAUAUAUGGAGAUGGGAGCUCCACUGCAGGAUAUUUUGUAAAAGACAUUGUGUUAUAUGAUCGAGUGUCUGGCAAUCUUGAAACCUCCUCUGCAAAUGGAAGUGUUAUAUUUGGGUGUGGUGCUACACAAUCAGGGAAUCUAGAUUCAUCUAAUGAAGAAGCACUUGAUGGAAUACUUGGUUUUGGAAAAUCUAAUUCAUCAAUGAUUUCCCAGCUUGCUUCAUCUGGAAAUGUGAAAAAGAUGUUUGCUCACUGCUUAGAUGGAGUUAAUGGAGGUGGUAUCUUUGCUAUUGGGCACGUUGUGCAACCAAAAGUCAACAUGACUCCGUUGGUACCAAAUCAGCCACAUUACAAUGUCAAUAUGACAGCAGUUCAAGUUGGUCAUGAUUUCCUAAAUCUUACGACAGAUAUAUUUGAGGCAGGAGAUCGAAAAGGGACAAUAAUAGACAGUGGAACAACCUUGGCAUAUCUCCCAGAUAUGGUUUACGAGCCAUUAGUAAGUAAGAUACUUUCUCAGCAGCCUUCGUUGAAGCUUCAAACUGUUCACGAUGAGUAUACAUGUUUUCAGUACUCUGCAAGUCUUGAUGAGGGAUUUCCAAAUAUCACUUUCCAUUUUGAAAAUUCAGUCAUCCUGAAGGUUUAUCCACAUGAGUACCUAUUCCCCUUUAGAUGAUUCAGGUCCAUCCUUGGUGCUGUGCAGGGACAUGCCCCUUUAAUGGUUUGUGGUGCGUUGGAUGGCAAAACAGUGGAAUGCAAUCCAGGGAUCGAAAGAAUAUGACCCUCUUGGGAGAUUUAGUGCUUUCAAACAAGCUUGUUUUGUAUGAUUUGGAAAAUCAGAGCAUUGGAUGGACAGAGUACAAUUGUUCUUCAAGCAUACAAGUACUGGAUGAACGGACUGGAACAGUGCAUUUAAUAGGUUACCACUAUAUUUCUUCUGCUUGCCAUUUGAAUGCCCAGCUUAUAAUAAUUUUGAUUUUGUUAGUGACAUUACUACAUUAUCUGGACAACUGAUAUUCAAUAGACAAUACAAAAUAUACUAACAGUUAAUUAAGAUAAAGAAAGCAAAUAUAAAAACGAAAUCAAGAGAUUCAUCUUGAUAUAGUUUGUUGAAUGAUUAACA